rnacentral:rRNA from 1 species
ACCAGGUCUUGACAUCCUUUGAACCCUCUGGAGACAGAGCUUUCCCUUCGGGGACAAAGUGACAGGUGGUGCAUGGUUGUCGUCAGCUCGUGUCGUGAGAUGUUGGGUUAAGUCCCGCAACGAGCGCAACCCUUGAUCUUAGUUGCCAGCAUUUAGUUGGGCACUCUAAGGUGACUGCCGGUGACAAACCGGAGGAAGGUGGGGAUGACGUCAAAUCAUCAUGCUCCUUAUGACCUGGGCUACACACGUGCUACAAUGGACGGAACAAAGGGAAGCAAGCCCGCGAGGUCAAGCAAAUCCCAUAAAACCGUUCUCAGUUCGGAUUGUAGGCUGCAACUCGCCUACAUGAAGCCGGAAUCGCUAGUAAUCGCGGAUCAGCAUGCCGCGGUGAAUACGUUCCCGGGUCUUGUACACACCGCCCGUCACACCACGAGAGUUCGUAACACCCGAAGUCGGUGAGGUAACCUUUUGGAGCCAGCCGCCGAAGGUGGGACGAAUGAUUGGGGUGAAGUCGUAACAAGGUAGCCGUAUCGGAAGGUGCGGCUGGAUCACCUCCUU